rnacentral:tRNA from 1 species
CCUGUAGCUCAAUGGUUGAGCGCUGGGUUCCCAAUCCGGAGGCUACGGGUUCGACCCCCGUCG